AACUCACUUAAUCAAACACCAGUUGUUUUUCAUCAAACCAGUAUGUUUCCAAGGAAUAAGAUUCCUCGUGUUCGUCAUCCAAAGUUCCAAGAACUAUGAGCUUCCAUUGGAUUUAUGACUUCUCUCCAUACAUCACCUCACCUAAGACAUAAAUUCAAGGAAGACCAUUCGAUGUUAAAGACAGUUAACCGUAGACAAAAUGAAUCAUUAUAACACUUAACUCUGUUAUUAGACUCUGUGUGGAGCAUGCACAAUGUACAUUGACUUUUGUUAGGGAUCUUUCAAUUAAAAUAUUUUGUUACUUAAAUCACAAUCCUUGUCCUCAGCAAUCCUCUCGUAAACCUCAGUGAUCAUAAUCCUAGCUCUAAUUCAUCUUCAUACAUCGCACCUUCAAUCAGUAGGUUGAGACGUUACGGAGAGGCGAUCGUCGUCUUUAAUCUCUGCAAAUUUUCGUCGACUGAGGCUAAGAAGGACAAACGCAAGAAGACGCUAAAUCUAUUCUCAUGGGCCUAAAUAUAUACUUUCAAAGUCUGACAAAAUUUUAUAAAAAGAAAAC
rnacentral:lncRNA from 1 species